AGGUCGAUAGCUCAAUUCGGCAAGAGCAGCGGUCUACAAAGCCGCGGGUUCCAGGUUCGAGUCCUGGUCGAUCUG
rnacentral:tRNA from 1 species